GAUAGAAUAUAUUCUAUUAUUUGAUUUCAAAAUAUCUUGUCUAUACAAUCAUUAUUCUUAUUCUAAAAAGAAAUGUGUUAUUCUGUCAGAAUCUGUCUGUUGCUGUGAUGAAUAUAUUUAUUUGAGUUGUUCUUACUUCUUUAUGACUUCUGAUUUUGAUUGAAAUAAGUUGAUUACUGCUAUCAAUUGUAUUGAGUGUGAAGAGGCUGAGACUUAUAUCUAUAUUUCCAAACUUUUUGUCUGUCUGAAUUGUUUAGAAAAAUAAAAGAAAUUGUUGUGUUCUUAUAUCAGCAAGUUUCUUCAAUUGAAUCUGCAGACUAUAAAGAAACUGAAAAAAUAAGAAA
rnacentral:sRNA from 2 species